rnacentral:rRNA from 1 species
AAAAGGUGGCUAUGCUACCGCUUUUGGAUGGGCCCGCGGCGCAUUAGCUAGUUGGUGGGGUAAAGGCUUACCAAGGCAAUGAUGCGUAGCCGAACUGAGAGGUUGAUCGGCCACAUUGGGACUGAGACACGGCCCAAACUCCUACGGGAGGCAGCAGUAGGGAAUCUUCCACAAUGGGCGAAAGCCUGAUGGAGCAACGCCGCGUGGGUGAAGAAGGUCUUCGGAUCGUAAAACCCUGUUGUUAGAGAAGAAAGUGCGUGAGAGUAACUGUUCACGUUUCGACGGUAUCUAACCAGAAAGCCACGGCUAACUACGUGCCAGCAGCCGCGGUAAUACGUAGGCGGCAAGCGUUAUCCGGAUUUAUUGGGCGUAAAGGGAACGCAGGCGGUCUUUUAAGUCUGAUGUGAAAGCCUUCGGCCUAACCGGAGUAGUGCAUUGGAAACUGGGAGACUUGAGUGCAGAAGAGGAGAGUGGAACUCCAUGUGUAGCGGUGAAAUGCGUAGAUAUAUGGAAGAACACCAGUGGCGAAAGCGGCUCUCUGGUCUGUAACUGACGCUGAGGUUCGAAAGCGUGGGUAGCAAACAGGAUUAGAUACCCUGGUAGUCCACGCCGUAAACGAUGAAUGCUAAGUGUUGGAGGGUUUCCGCCCUUCA